rnacentral:sRNA from 1 species
AGACAACUCUUUUGUACAUUUGGUGUAUGCAAGCGUAUCCACUCCGAUCAAGGAAAGUGCUUUGAAGCUGAAAUAAUCCAACACUUGUGUUCUCUUUAUAACAUCAAGAGGUCGAGAACUACACGUAUCAUCCUCGGGGCAACGGGCAACGCGAACGCUUCAAUUGAACGUUACACGACUUGCUUUACUCUUAACCACCAGUUAGGAAACGAAAGUAGCUAGAGUACAUUAAAGAGUUCGUGUACACCAAACGCAUCGACUGGUUAUUUCCCUUACUUCUUGAUGCAUGUACGACAUCCAUACCUUCCAAUGGAUUUUUAAAGUACCAAACCGUCAAAUGAAAAUAAACAUUGACAGACGGGCGGAUUUACAUUCCGAGAAACUUUUAUUUGCUUACAACAGAGCCAGAGAAGAACUCAACAGAAAUGAAUUAGCAAGAAAGCAUAGACAUGGAGAUCGGAAAAAGAACAAAAUCUAUAUUCAAAACAGAGGUUUUAAAGACAAAAUUCAGGGCAAAUGGAAAUCUGAAGUUUAUGUAAUCGUAGACAAACCGUAUAAAUCCGUGUACAGUGAGAAAGCCAGUGAAUAGUGUUUUCUGUGAAUUGUUUGGGAUUAAACCAGUCAAUACGUGAAAUGUGAAUAUAUUUUUGACUGCAAAUGGUUGUAAUAUAUAGUUAGUUGUAAUCGUAUAACUGAAUAUUUUAUAUGUAUCAAUUAUAUUAAUUCGAGGACGAAUUAACAUUUGAAGUUUUAUUGCGCGCUUAUGGUUCUUUAAUUUCAUUGGUUCAAAUUUUUAUCUUAUAAAUCUAAUUCUCAAUUAGUAUAAAUAGCCAUUCAACUUAAAUAAAUUUGGGCAGUAC